rnacentral:rRNA from 1 species
UAGUCUCAGUUCGGAUUGGAGUCUGCAACCCGACUCCAUGAAGCUGGAUUCGCUAGUAAUCGCGCAUCAGCCACGGCGCGGUGAAUACGUUCCCGGGCCUUGUACACACCGCCCGUCAAGCCAUGGAAGCCGGGAGUGCCUGAAGUGCGUGACCGCAAGGAGCGUCCUAAGGCAAUACCGGUGACUGGGGCUAAGUCGUAACAAGGUACC